CCAUAUGAACGGAUAAAUUGUUCCGGAAAGUUACUCCCUAUUGGAGAAUGCAAAACAAUAAUACCAUUACACUUCUAAUUAUCUAAUCUAACGUAUAUAAGGUUCCAAAUCAAUUGGUUCCUUAGAAAAUAGGCUAUUGUUCUGCAAAAUAUGUAAGCUUGUUAUCAAACAAUGAAUCUAAAUAGGUUAUUGAAUUAUACAGCCAAUCUCCUAUUGUUUGCUUGGUUUGAUGACAGGAAAACAAAUGAAAAAAUACCUUCCUUAUUAUCAAAAUAAGGCAGGAGUUCUACGUACACACGCACACUCAAUGCAAGCCACUCGAUCUGAUGCCGAUAGACGCGCACCAGAGCACACGUACAUGGAGAGAGAUAAUGGAGAAAGGUUUAAACGAAGGUACUUGAGGAUAAAUAUGGGAGAACGUAUUACGGACAUCCACUAUCACGAAAUUCCUUUCGUAAUAUACUAAAUGGUUUCAUUUUAAUUCCCCUGUGAUCCUUGCCCCGCGUGGAACGUCGGACGGCUCAUCGACAAAUCUUUUUGAGCACAAUCGCUUAUACCCUCCAACUGAAGCAGCUCACGGUUAGAUGCUUUGAAGAAGGAAGGUCCCUCCCAUUUCCCCGUACGAGGGUUCCAAGCUUUAUAAAACAGCGCCAUAUUGGUCUUUCGAAACUUCGUCGUCAAGCACAAUUUUCAACUGCCUCUUGAAACACUCUUCUGCUUCAAUAUGCUCGAAUAAUGUUCCACUAUAGAAAUAUUCUAGUCGCCAUGAUAAAAUCUCUGUAAAAAUUCAAUAAAUUAUUCUACAAUAUACU